GACCUUCUCUUUCCUUGGCUGCUCAGGUCAUAGGUGCUGCAAUCUAGAGACAAAAUAUUCCUUACACUGCCAGAUACUUGCAAACUAAGGGGAACGAGCUUCCCUCUGAAUGUUUAUGAAGGAGAGACCACUGUGAGGAUAGACAGUGAAGUGCAACUACAGCCCGCAAAUGAAAAUGAAUAAAAUUAAUCCAGCCCCUCAAGGCAGUCAUCUGUCUUAGAGCUAUUGGAAUCCUGGAUCAUUGUGGGAAAUGAAAAGUAAGAACUGGUUUUUAGCAAGGAGACCAAGAAACUCUACUCCCUAGGGGCUAGCAAUGAGAGAAAGGAAGCCUUGAGUCUUUGAGCACAGGGUGACAGUUUGGGUCCUAUGUGAGAUGAUCAAAUCCACAGCAACAGAGGAAAGGACAAAAGGAAAAGGUCUGUAGCAGCACUACAUCAGAAAAAAUGGAUUCCGCAAGGAAGUGGGUGACUCUGAAUACUUCGAUGGAAUCAGCAGCCAUUGAUCCAAUGCCAACUCCAAGACUGGAACGUCGCAAUGAUAGUUCCAAGGCGGAAAUUUGACGUAAUUCUUUUCGACACAGUUUUACAGGUCUGGAUGCCCAUUUUAAUUCUUCUGAAAGCAUGCCUCCUUCUGGCUUCAGGACUCCAUCUCCAGCCUUAUGAUCUAAAAAUAAUCCCCAAACCAAAAAAUUAGAUAUUAUUUCCUCAAAAUUAGGUGUUUUAAUCAAAACAUCUUAACAUAAAUACAUUAUUAUCACCCAA
rnacentral:lncRNA from 1 species